CGAGGAGUCCCCUUAGAGCACUCUCAUUGGAUUAGCUAAAAACUAAAUCCAAUAAGAAUUUAGCUAUUGAAUCAUAAAAUGUAUCACAUUGGAAUAACUAUAUUCCAAAUAUUUGAAAUAUAGCUACAGUAACUUCUAAAGUAAUUUCUAAAUUUGAAAGAUACUGUUUAUUCAUCAAAUCUAUUUUAUAUUAUUUAUUUCUCUCUCUUGAGG